UGAGUCCUGUAAAGCAGGCGUACCAUGCUCAACCUGCGGCCCUCCAGCUGUUGCAAAACUACAACUCACAGCAUGCCUGAACAGCCUACAGCAGGGCAUUGUGGGAGUUGUAGUUUUACAACAGGUGGAGAGCCGCCGGUUGAGCAUGCCUAGUUUAC